UACGUAGGAGACGAGCGUUGUCCGGAAUUACUGGGCGUAAAGCGCGUGUAGGCGGAUGAGCAAGUCUGCUGUGAAAGCCCCUGGCUUAACCGGGGGUGUCGGUGGAAACUGCUCGUCUGGAGGACGGUAGAGGUAGGUAGAAUUCCCGGUGUAGUGGUGAAAUGCGUAGAGAUCGGAGGAAUACCUGUGGCGAAGGCGGCCUACUGGGCCGGACCUGACGCUGAGACGCGAAGGCGUGGGGAGCGAACGG
rnacentral:rRNA from 1 species